CUGAAUGGGGGGUCUCAUUUAAAGGGGGGUUCUGCUUUGCGCUCAAAACAUUCAAAAUGGCCCAUUUCGAGUUGGAACAUUUCAAGCUUGCAAUGUUCUGCACAUCCCUAGCUUGUGUAGUUGUUCUGCCUGUCGAAUCUAGCAAACUGUCCUGUCUGCAAAAGGCUUUGCCAGGCCUAGUCCUGGGCAAGGCCUCUAGGCCUAUAAUAACCAACCAACACACACUUUGUGGAUAUUUCCUGUUCAAACUGCGACCCGAUGAGGAUCCCCCCCUCAUCGCCACUGUCAAAUCAGCAGCCCACACAGAAUACUGGACAUGAAUCCAUGGUAACGUCUUUAUUAUGCAGGCAGGACACUUUUAAUAGCUUGCUAGAUCCUACAGGCAGAACAACUACAUACGCCCCCUAGAGGCUUGACAGGAACAUACACCCCAUUAGCGAUGUGGGAACUGUGGGAUAAGUUGAGCUUUGUAAAUAGGCAUUAAGUAGGCUAAAUUUUGUUGAGAUUACCUCAGUGCUUUUUAUGAAAUAGGUGUAAUUAGAGUGGCCCACUCCAUGGAAGUCAAUGGGACCUUCUUAUUGCAGAAGUCAAGUGCAGUUUUCCUGUCAGCAUUCUGACAGUGGGGUGUGAGCAGCAAGGACAGGAUCAACUGAGAGAACUGAAUAAAUAAAUGCUCAGCACAAAAAACAAGAAGCAGAAACCCAAAGAUACAUCAAUAUGAAACAAAUAUAAAAUCCAUCAAGACCCACACUUCCUUCAGCCAAGAAAUCGGCAAGUAAUGAAAGUAAUUAGGACAGCCAUUGUAUGGGCUAUAAAAGGAAAUUGGAUUAGAAAAGAGGUGGAAGAUUCCCCAAGAUGAUCACAAGGGAAGUCUGCAGAAAUAAACAUAUUUCCUCACCAUUGGAACUGCACAGUAGGCAUCUGGGCAUAUACAUAGCUGCUAGAUUGCUUACAUUCCCAUCAACACUUGAGCUCCAGACUUGUUGAAAGCUCCUAUAUAUAGCUGGCAUGUCGCACAAAUGGGCAGAGAAAAGAGACAGGUCAAAGAUCCUGGCAACUGAAGGCCUGCUUAUCAUCAACUGUGCUGAUGCAUUUCCAUGUGAUUUACUGAAAGGAGUGUGAGUCAGAGGCACGACUUUCCUGGGACAUUAUUUCUCAAAUGACUUCAGUUUGUGAUAAAUUGGUUUUGACAUCCAUCACAGACAGAUUCUUGGUGGUGUAAUUUAGCAUUGGCUAUAGCGCUUCCUUCUAGUCUCACCCCUCCCACGCCCCUGAUCUGCUAACAAUGAGCUAAUGGAUUUGUGGCUUCACUCUAAACAUCCCCAAAGAGCAAACAAUAGUCCCGGAGGAGAUAGAUUAGUUGAAGUUGCAGGAUGAGGAUCUAUUUGCAGUGACCUGGAAGCCAGAGGCCUUUCCUCAUGACCUGUAACGAUUACCCACCAUGUCCAAGAGGAGCCUUAGUAAUGGCCUUUGCCUUUCAUUUUCACACGUCAGAUUGCCACAUAACAGAUGUAUCGCAGUUCAGGCACAACAGCUGUUGCAUAUUCCUUAUUCAUUGACCUUCUGGCCCUAACUGAGUACUAGGACUUACAUUUUUACCCACCCUUCCUCCAAGGAGCUCAGGGCAGUGCAUAUGGUUCUCUGCCCCAUCAUAUUGCCAUCACAACAAUCCUGUGAGGUAAGUUAGGCUGAGGGAUGGUGACUGACCCAAGGUCGCUCAGUAAGCUUCAUGGCUGAAUGAGGAUUUUGACCUGGAUAUUUCCAGUCCUGUUCUUAACAUUCUAACAACAACACUUUAUUGGCUCUCCCUCACUCUGGAAAGCCUCUUAGGCAAUAAGGUUAGUCACACAUCCUGUCCUACCAGGGUAUAACAAGGCUAGCCCAGGUAGGGCUGGUCAUAUGAAGCCCUGUGAUCACUCCUGAUCCUGCCAUUCCUCUCCCGGGUAGCCCUGAUUUAAAAACCCAGACUUAAAAUGGUGUAGGAGGAAGAGUGUGUGCCUCCUACCUCACUUGCUGGUCAUGUGGGUCGUCAGGCUGCCAGCAGCCAUCUUGGUCAUAGAGCCUGUGGGUAGGAGCAGCCAGGCAGCAUGGAGCUUUCCCAAUGCACUGCACUGCUCGUGCAGUGCACUGUGGGAUACUGGACAGCCCGGCUCCCCACCACACACAUACACACACCGCUACCUAGCUUGCUGCAAUGCCACUUAUAUGAGUGUGCAGACAGUGGAGCCCUUUUCGGGCUCAUGUCAUUUAAUUGUUCUUAAAUGUUUUUAACUGGUUUCAAACAGUUUUUAAAUUUGUUUUAAUAUUGUUUUAAGUUGAUGGUUUUAAAUGGUUGUUUGUUUUUUAUUGUUGAACACCGCCCAGAGCCUUUGGAUGGCUAGGGCAGUUUAGAAAUGUAAUAAAUAUAAUGUACUAAAUAAAUAAAUAAAUAUGGAAGCAGA